GACGAACGCUGGCGGCAUGCCUAAUACAUGCAAGUCGAGCGAACAGAUGAAGUGCUUGCACUUCUGACGUUAGCGGCGAACGGGUGAGUAACACGUAAGGAAUCUACCUAUAAGCGGGGGAUAACAUUCGGAAACGGGUGCUAAUACCGCAUAAUAUCUUCUUCCGCAUGGAAGAAGAUUGAAAGACGGCUCUGCUGUCACUUAUAGAUGACCUUGCGGUGCAUUAGUUAGUUGGUGGGGUAAUGGCCUACCAAGACAAUGAUGCAUAGCCGACCUGAGAGGGUGAUCGGCCACAUUGGGACUGAGACACGGCCCAAACUCCUACGGGAGGCAGCAGUAGGGAAUCUUCCGCAAUGGGCGAAAGCCUGACGGAGCAAUGCCGCGUGAGUGAAGAAGGCCUUCGGGUCGUAAAACUCUGUCAUAAGAGAAGAACAAAUUGUAGAGUGACUGCUACAGUCUUGACGGUAUCUUAUCAGAAAGCCACGGCUAACUACGUGCCAGCAGCCGCGGUAA
rnacentral:rRNA from 1 species